rnacentral:rRNA from 1 species
GGGUUGUGAGGUUAAGCGACUAAGCGUACACGGUGGAUGCCCUGGCAGUCAGAGGCGAUGAAGGACGUGCUAAUCUGCGAUAAGCGCCGGUAAGGUGAUAUGAACCGUUAUAACCGGCGAUUUCCGAAUGGGGAAACCCAGUGUGACUCGUCACACUAUCAUUAACUGAAUCCAUAGGUUAAUGAGGCGAACCGGGGGAACUGAAACAUCUAAGUACCCCGAGGAAAAGAAAUCAACCGAGAUUCCCCCAGUAGCGGCGAGCGAACGGGGAGGAGCCCAGAGCCUGAAUCAGCAUGUGUGUUAGUGGAAGCGUCUGGAAAGGCGCGCGAUACAGGGUGACAGCCCCGUACACAAAAGCGCAUGUGCUGUGAGCUCGAUGAGUAGGGCGGGACACGUGGUAUCCUGUCUGAAUAUGGGGGGACCAUCCUCCAAGGCUAAAUACUCCUGACUGACCGAUAGUGAACCAGUACCGUGAGGGAAAGGCGAAAAGAACCCCGGCGAGGGGAGUGAAAAAGAACCUGAAACCGUGUACGUACAAGCAGUGGGAGCACCCUUUGGGGUGUGACUGCGUACCUUUUGUAUAAUGGGUCAGCGACUUAUAUUCUGUAGCAAGGUUAACCGAAUAGGGGAGCCGGAGGGAAACCGAGUCUUAAUUGGGCGUUAAGUUGCAGGGUAUAGACCCGAAACCCGGUGAUCUAGCCAUGGGCAGGUUGAAGGUUGGGUAACACUAACUGGAGGACCGAACCGACUAAUGUUGAAAAAUUAGCGGAUGACCUGUGGCUGGGGGUGAAAGGCCAAUCAAACCGGGAGAUAGCUGGUUCUCCCCGAAAGCUAUUUAGGUAGCGCCUCGUGAAUUCAUCUCCGGGGGUAGAGCACUGUUUCGGCUAGGGGGCCAUCCCGGCUUACCAACCCGAUGCAAACUGCGAAUACCGGAGAAUGUUAUCACGGGAGACACACGGCGGGUGCUAACGUCCGUCGUGAAGAGGGAAACAACCCAGACCGCCAGCUAAGGUCCCAAAGUCAUGGUUAAGUGGGAAACGAUGUGGGAAGGCCCAGACAGCCAGGAUGUUGGCUUAGAAGCAGCCAUCAUUUAAAGAAAGCGUAAUAGCUCACUGGUCGAGUCGGCCUGCGCGGAAGAUGUAACGGGGCUAAACCAUGCACCGAAGCUGCGGCAGCGAACGUAUCACCCAAGACAACUUUACGGAGUUGACGAUUGACGGAGCGAAGCGACGUCAAAGCGUUCAUUAAAGUCGAGUUGGCUUAGGGAUACGUUCGUUGGGUAGGGGAGCGUUCUGUAAGCCUGUGAAGGUGUGUCGUGAGGCAUGCUGGAGGUAUCAGAAGUGCGAAUGCUGACAUAAGUAACGAUAAAGCGGGUGAAAAGCCCGCUCGCCGGAAGACCAAGGGUUCCUGUCCAACGUUAAUCGGGGCAGGGUGAGUCGACCCCUAAGGCGAGGCCGAAAGGCGUAGUCGAUGGGAAACGGGUUAAUAUUCCCGUACUUGGUGUUACUGCGAAGGGGGGACGGAGAAGGCUAUGUUGGCCGGGCGACGGUUGUCCCGGUUUAAGCGUGUAGGUGUGUGUUCCAGGUAAAUCCGGUUCACUUUAACACUGAGGCGUGACGACGAGGCACUACGGUGCUGAAGCAACAAAUGCCCUGCUUCCAGGAAAAGCCUCUAAGCAUCAGGUAACACGAAAUCGUACCCCAAACCGACACAGGUGGUCAGGUAGAGAAUACCAAGGCGCUUGAGAGAACUCGGGUGAAGGAACUAGGCAAAAUGGUGCCGUAACUUCGGGAGAAGGCACGCUGACACGUAGGUGAAGUGAUUUACUCAUGGAGCUGAAGUCAGUCGAAGAUACCAGCUGGCUGCAACUGUUUAUUAAAAACACAGCACUGUGCAAACACGAAAGUGGACGUAUACGGUGUGACGCCUGCCCGGUGCCGGAAGGUUAAUUGAUGGGGUCAGCGCAAGCGAAGCUCCUGAUCGAAGCCCCGGUAAACGGCGGCCGUAACUAUAACGGUCCUAAGGUAGCGAAAUUCCUUGUCGGGUAAGUUCCGACCUGCACGAAUGGCGUAAUGAUGGCCAGGCUGUCUCCACCCGAGACUCAGUGAAAUUGAACUCGCUGUGAAGAUGCAGUGUACCCGCGGCAAGACGGAAAGACCCCGUGAACCUUUACUAUAGCUUGACACUGAACAUUGAGCCUUGAUGUGUAGGAUAGGUGGGAGGCUUUGAAGUGUGGACGCCAGUCUGCAUGGAGCCGACCUUGAAAUACCACCCUUUAAUGUUUGAUGUUCUAACGUGGACCCGUUACCCGGGUUGCGGACAGUGUCUGGUGGGUAGUUUGACUGGGGCGGUCUCCUCCUAAAGAGUAACGGAGGAGCACGAAGGUUGGCUAAUCCUGGUCGGACAUCAGGAGGUUAGUGCAAUGGCAUAAGCCAGCUUGACUGCGAGCGUGACGGCGCGAGCAGGUGCGAAAGCAGGUCAUAGUGAUCCGGUGGUUCUGAAUGGAAGGGCCAUCGCUCAACGGAUAAAAGGUACUCCGGGGAUAACAGGCUGAUACCGCCCAAGAGUUCAUAUCGACGGCGGUGUUUGGCACCUCGAUGUCGGCUCAUCACAUCCUGGGGCUGAAGUAGGUCCCAAGGGUAUGGCUGUUCGCCAUUUAAAGUGGUACGCGAGCUGGGUUUAGAACGUCGUGAGACAGUUCGGUCCCUAUCUGCCGUGGGCGCUGGAGAACUGAGGGGGGCUGCUCCUAGUACGAGAGGACCGGAGUGGACGCAUCACUGGUGUUCGGGUUGUCAUGCCAAUGGCACUGCCCGGUAGCUAAAUGCGGAAGAGAUAAGUGCUGAAAGCAUCUAAGCACGAAACUUGCCCCGAGAUGAGUUCUCCCUGAGACUUUAGGUCUCCUGAAGGAACGUUGAAGACGACGACGUUGAUAGGCCGGGUGUGUAAGCGCAGCGAUGCGUUGAGCUAACCGGUACUAAUGAACCGUGAGGCUUAACCUUACAACGCCGAAG